rnacentral:rRNA from 1 species
UACGGGGGGGGCAAGCGUUGUUCGGAAUUACUGGGCGUAAAGGGCUCGUAGGUGGCCCCAUAAGUCAGACGUGAAAUCCCUCGGCUCAACCGAGGAACUGCGUCUGAGACUGCGGGGCUUGAAUCCGGGAGAGGGAUGCGGAAUUCCAGGUGUAGCGGUGAAAUGCGCAGAUAUCAGGAGGAACACCAGCGGCGAAGGCGGCGCUCUGGGCCGGUACUGACACUGAGGAGCGAAAGCGUGGGUAGCAAACAGG